rnacentral:rRNA from 1 species
ACAUUGCUAUUGGGAUUCGAUUUAGCCAUGCUAGUCGAACGAGUUCAGACUCGUGGCGAAUAGCUCAGUAACACGUGGCCAAGCUCCCCUUCAGUCAGCGAUACCCUCGGGAAACUGAGGUUAACAGCUGAUACACAACGCCAGCUGGAAUGCGGCGUUUCAGAAAGACAUCGCUGAAGGAUGCGGCUGCGGCCGAUUAGGUAGACGGUGGGGUAACGGCCCACCGUGCCAGUAAUCGGUACGGGUGAUGAGAGUCAGAGCCCGGAGACGGAAUCUGAGACAAGAUUCCGGGCCCUACGGGGCGCAGCAGGCGCGAAACCUUUACACUGCACGGAAGUGCGAUAGGGGAAUCCCAAGUGCGAGGGCAUAUUAGCCCUCGCUUUUCUCGACUGUAAGGUGGUCGACGAAUAAGAGCUGGGCAAGACCGGUGCCAGCCGCCGCGGUAAUACCGGCAGCUCAAGUGAUGUCCCAUAUUAUUGGGCCUAAAGCGUCCGUAGCU